rnacentral:rRNA from 1 species
AUGGACCCGCGUCUGAUUAGCUAGUUGGUGAGGUAACGGCCCACCAAGGCGACGAUCAGUAGCCGGCCUGAGAGGGUGAACGGCCACAUUGGGACUGAGACACGGCCCAAACUCCUACGGGAGGCAGCAGUGGGGAAUAUUGCACAAUGGGGGAAACCCUGAUGCAGCGACGCCGCGUGAGUGAAGAAGUAUUUCGGUAUGUAAAGCUCUAUCAGCAGGGAAGAUAAUGACGGUACCUGACUAAGAAGCACCGGCUAAAUACGUGCCAGCAGCCGCGGUAAUACGUAUGGUGCAAGCGUUAUCCG